CACCAAACCAAUUUACACCACGGAGCCAAAAGGGCAGCGCAUGGAACCAAGAAAUAAUUACAAAUGAAGGUUGCACUGGUUGCAUUCAGGCAGUUACCUGGUCUUGGUUGUUCUACCAACGACUUUAUUGAGCAGUGUAACUACCGGGUACAAACUACUGUGUCCCCCCCUUCUUUCUUUCUUUCUUUCUUUCUUUCUUUCUUUCUUUCUUUCUUUCUUUCUUUCUUUCUUUCUUUCUUCCUUCCUUCCUUCAUUACUUACUCUCGUUUUCCCUCCCCUUUUUUAUUUUACUGUGACGUAACUCACUGAUGUCUACCUGUGGUGUCCAGUCGUAAUCUACCUUGUGGUGUCCACAUGUAAUCUACCUCUGGUGUCCGCUUGUAAUCUACCUCUGGUGUCCACUUGUAAUCUACCUUGUGGUGUCCACUUGUAAUCUACCUUGUGUCCACUUGUAAUCUACCUUGUGGUGUCCAGUCGUAAUCUACCUGUGGUGUCCACUUGUAAUCUACCUUGUGGUGUCCAGUCGUAAUCUACCUGUGGUGUCCACUUGUAAUCUACCUUGUGGUGUCCAGUCGUAAUCUACCUGCGGUGUCCACUUGGCAAAAAAAAAAAGAAUUAGCUGGACAGCAUUAGCUGAAAAAAAGGUAGAAUUAAUUGGCAAAAUAAGCAUAGUUAGCAGACAUGACGUGUUCCUCUGGAAGCCUAUAAGAGCUUUAUUUCCUCCCGAAGGACAGCUGCUGUGUCCAGAUUUUGUUUGGCUGGGUACAGGAUGACGCGUCAAAAUGGCCUCUUGUGAGGGAGUUGGAGGGAGGAGCCAAUAGAGUCGCCAGCUCUGACAAGCGUGUAUAUAAGGAGAGUUUCGCCUCCUCCAGACAGACAGGACAGUCAGCUAAGGCGUGAGCAUUAUAUCCCUCCGUCAUGAGAUUUUUGUCGCUGAUGGUGGUGGUGAUGGUGGUGGUCCUGGCCGCCCUGAUGGGGUCAGCCCGAGCUAUGCCUGACCCCUACGCCCUGGCUUACCCUGACCCCGCGGCUGACCCACAGUUUGGACGAUUUGGCGGUCGAGGCUUUGGCGGUCGAGGCUUUGGCGGUCGAGGCUUUGGCGGUCGAGGCUUUGGUGGCGGAUUUCGCCGUGGUUUCCGCGGAUAAUCUUACAAACGCGAAGAAUAAAAAAAAACGAACAAAAAAAAGGGGGUAUAGGAUAUAAAUAAAAAGCAGCCAAUCAAACAUGCCGACGAGGCUGCCUAAAUAAAUGAUUUUUCCAAACAUUUUCAUGAAUACGUGAAUAACAAACUUUAUCGAUAGUGUGAUGCCAAAUAAAUGAUAAUAAAUUAUAUGUACUUCCAUCACUAUUGUUGUUUGGUAACAAAUUGGUUAGAAAUUCGUAAAUUCCCGCAGAAUUCUUCGAAAAUAAAUAAAUAUAUUUAUCAA